rnacentral:rRNA from 1 species
GCUUACGGCCAUACCACCCUGAGAACGCCCGAUCUCGUCUGAUCUCGGAAGCUAAGCAAGGUCGGGCCUGGUUAGUACUUGGAUGGGAGACCGCCUCGGAAUACCAGAUGCUGUAAGCU